AUCGCUUCACUUCGUUUCAGGCAGUUGCGGCCGUGGAAUGGCGGCGGCGGAGGUGGAGGCAGCGAAGCUGUGCUGCAUCUCGCACGCGUUCGACGGCGCCGCUCGCCGGGACCCCGGCCGCCUCGCCGUCAUCCACGCUCCGGCCUCCGGUGGCGACGGCGAGGAGCUCCGCUUCACCUGCGGGGACCUCCUCGCCGCCGUCGCCUCGCUGUCCCGCCGCAUCGCCACCGCGCUCUCCGGCCUUCCCACCGACCCCCGCGAGAGCCCAGGAUCUCGGGGCGGCGCCGCGGUGCCGAGGGUUGUCGGGGUGUACGCCUCGCCGUCGGUGGAGUACGUUGUCGCCGUCCUCGCCGUGCUUAGGUGCGGCGAGGCGUUCCUGCCGCUGGACACGGCGUGGCCGGAGGAGAGGGUCUUGUCGGCCGUCUCCGAGUCCAACGCGGCGCUCGUCGUGUCGUCGGUUGGGUCGCAAGGAGCCCCUCCUGUGUUUGAGAGCAGCCCUUGCCCUGUCCUGCACUUGUGCACUGACGUCUGGCAAGGGUCUCGGGACGAAAAUGGUGGAGAGGACCUUGCCUGGCCGUGCGAGCUCGACAGGGCCCGGAAGUUCUGCUACGUGAUGUUCACCUCUGGUUCCACUGGGAAACCCAAGGGCGUUUGUGGCACCGAGAAAGGUCUUCUCAAUCGCUUUUUGUGGAUGCAAAGAAGGAAUCCUUUGUGUUCAGAUGAUGUGUUGUUGUUUAAGACAUCUAUCAGCUUUGUUGACCAUCUACAGGAGUUCCUUUCUGCGGUGUUGACUUGCACAACACUUGUCAUUCCUCCUCCCAGUGAGUGGAGAGCUAAUCCAGCAUCCUUGGCCAACUUGAUUAAGGUUUACCGGAUAUCAAGGAUGACUUUGGUUCCAUCACUUAUGGAGAUAGUACUACCUAACCUGGUGAAAAUACUUUCUGGUGGCUGUAACCCACUUAAGAUCCUAAUAUUUAGUGGGGAACUUCUGCCCGUCUUGUUGUGGAAGAGGGUCUAUGAAGUUCUGCCAGAGACUACUAUCAUAAAUCUGUAUGGAACAACGGAGGUUUCUGGUGACUGUACAUUCUUUGAUUGCAAAGAUUUGCCUACAAUUUUGGAGCGAGAAGAAUUAAGCAGUGUACCGAUUGGAUUUCCUAUUUCAAAUUGUGAGGUUUCUCUUGUCACCGAAGAUGGACUAGCAGAUGAAGGUGAAAUCUCCGUCAGUGGAGCAUGCUUGUUUUCUGGACAUUUAGCUGAUCGCAUGACAAGUAACUGCCCUGACAACAAUGAAAGUUUAGCACACUACAAAACAGGUGAUUUUGCUCGACGCCUAAACACCGGUCAACUUAUUUUCCUUGGGAGGAAGGACCGUACUGUUAAGACCUAUGGGCAGCGUUUCUCACUGGAGGAGGUGGAAUCCACCUUAAGGGAACAUCCUGAUGUCAAUGACGCUGCUGUUACUUUUGAAGGUAAUGGAUCUCUGGAUUUUAAGGCAUACCUGGUGCUGAAGAGUAAUGGCGAAUUUUCGAAAUAUACUCAGCGUUAUAGUCGAUUAAAUUCUUCUCAAGAUAUGAUGGCACCACUUCGAAGUUGGCUCAUAAGGAAGCUUCCGCUUGCUAUGGUUCCAAGGCUUUUUAUCCCUGUGGAAUCAUUACCUUUGACUUUGUCAGGAAAGAUUGACUAUGCAAAGUUAUCUAGCUUGGAGUGUGCCUCAGAACCUUGUGAAAUUGAGUCAGAAAGCAGUCCAGUAGAUGCUCAUAUACAAGUUAUCAAAAAGGCCUUUUCUGAUGCCCUUCUCGUUGAUGAAGUUUCUGAUUAUGAUGACUUCUUUGCCUUGGGCGGUAACUCAAUCUCUGCUGCACAUGUGGCUCACAAGCUGGGGAUCGACAUGAGACUGCUUUAUAUUUAUACCACCCCUUCUAAGCUUUUGCAUGCUUUAUUUGUGAAGAGCAGUCAUGCAGUUUCUCCUACUCAUGACUUUCACAGCAGGAAGAGGUUGAAAGUAUCUGCAAGCAUAUCAGGCUCCUUUGAUCCAGUUUCUGCAACUUUGGAUAAUAAAUUUCAUGGCAAAGGGAAUAUAAAUGAAGAGGGCACACACGAUCAGUUUGGGAGGAAUCAUGUAAAUGAAACAGUUGGCCAGCUUAAUAAAAAUAUGACUUAUGAUAGAUACCAGGCGAAAGACAAAUACCCCUGCUCAGAUACAUGCUCGAAUGAUGGAAUUUUCAGGAGCACUCCAUCAUCACCAUGGAUCCUAAACUUUUAUUUACAAAAGAAGUGGUCUUUUGGUCGUUGCAAUAGGUUUAUGCAUGGUUCUGAAGGGGCCCUACACGUUGAAGAUAUUUGCACAUCUGUGUCAUACAACAACAGAGGUUACCUCAUGAAACUUUGGGACGUUCCUCUGGACUCAUGUGUUGAUGCAUCACCUUUGCUUGUCGUAAACAAUGGGAUGAUGAACAUUUUUAUUGGUUCUCAUUCACACUUGUUUCUCUGCAUUGAUGGUUGUAGCGGUUCAGUGAGGUGGAGUGUCAAAUUGGAAGGUCGUAUUGAGUGUUCUGCCACCGUAACUGGUGAUUUCUCAGAGGUUGUUGUUGGAUGUUACAAAGGGAAAAUUUACUUCAUUGAUAUGUCUACUGGACAACUAUCCUGGACCUAUCAAACUGAUGGGGAGGUAAAAAUGCAACCAGUAGUGGACAGUAUGAGGCACUUAAUAUGGUGUGGCUCGUAUGACCAUUACUUGUAUGCAUUAAAUUACAAAGACCAUUGCUGCACUUACAAAAUUUCUUGUGGUGGAAGCAUUUAUGGUUCGCCUGCUAUAGACAUGGCACAAAACAUAAUCUAUGUCGCAUCUACGAGUGGCCUUGUGACUGCAGUAUCGUUUGAGGAACCAUCAUUCAAGAUGGUUUGGCAAUAUGAAGCUGGUGUACCAAUCUUUGGUUCUCUCGCCUUAGAUUAUCAAAGUGGAAAAGACAUGCCAGUUUUUUUGCUGAUUACUGCACUUGCAACAUGCAGUUAUUUGUUGCUUGGUGAAUGGCGUAGUUAUCGCAUUGAACUCACAAGGCACUGUUAUUUGGAAGGCAACUGUUGGUGGUCCUACUUUUGCUGGUGCAUGUUUGUCGUCCACCCUCCCCUAUCAGGUGCUCAUACCUUCCCGUGAUGGCAGUUUAUACUCUUUUGAUAUUACUUCCGGUGCCCUUCUUUGGGUAUACAAUGUUGGGGAUCCAAUUACUGCAUCCGCCUUUGUUGAUGAGAUGUUAACAUCAGAGUCAUUUGGGCCAUCUGAGAGAUUUGCUUGUGUCUGCACGAGUUCUGGGAAGGUCCAUGUCAUCAGGAUUAGAGCUGAUGCUAAGCAGGAGCAAGCUGGCGAAGGUGUUAAAUAUGAGGAGUUGGUCCAAGGAUUGGCGUCCAUUGAUCUUCCAGGCGACAUAUUUUCAUCACCCUUGAUGGUUGGUGGACGCAUCUUUGCUGGAUGCAGAGAUGAUCGGUUGCAUUGUCUCACGGUCAGCAUGUAGCUCUUCAAGUGGAUUUUGUUGGUGGUCCGAGGUGAUAUAAUUUGCCUGCCUGUCUGCCCGACAUCAUGUCUUCUGCGACGAGCCUUUUCUCACUGAUAAGGCACAGGGCGCAGCACGGUGCAGGACAUGAUAUGCCCCAACGAAAAUAUUCUCAGUGGCCUGAUCAUUCGACAAUCAACUAGGGGUGAGGGGAAGCCCCUGCCUCCUGGUGGUUGGAUCUCCAAUGGUUGCUUUGCAUGUCAGCACAUGUGACCGCAGCCUGCUCGCGUUGAAAGGUCCUGGAUUGAUGGAUGAAGCGAGUGCUUGCUUGUCUUCCAACCUCAAAUUGUCAUCACGGGUCUUGCUUGCAUCCACCCCAUGUGUAACCGUUGCUGGGGUCCUGCAGGGCUGUUGAGUCAUGCUUUUGUUUCCCUGUGUUGUUCCACUUUAUCAGUGGUGAGUCUGUUGCCCGCAGCAAUAGGCAGAGGCUGUACAAUUGCUCAGACGACCAUGUCCGGUGAUGGGCAGAGCCGCAGAGGGCCGUUAAAAUUUCUGCAGAUGACCAACGCAAGCAGUGUUCUACCUGCUACAUUUGUAGAAUAUGUUUUUUCUUUGUAGUACAGUGCCCCUCAAGCAAAUGUAUGAGUCAAAUCACACACCAAAUAUAAUCUGUACUAGUUUAGAUUGGAAAAUUCUAUAUAUUUUCCCCUCGAAAGUUGGCAAAUUGCAAUCAAAUGGAAACAAGACUUGAGAUUUCUUUUU